GCCGCCACUAAACAGUAUAAAGAGGAAGAAAAAGAAAACGAAACCUGUCAGGAUACACACGUCUGUUUUCUACAGUCAUUGAAGCCAACAGUGACGUGUGGGCCACCAUUCUGGCUCUGAUCUGGCUUCCUGCUUUCAAGAUGGAUGCAAAGGACGAGUGGGAGCUUCUGGCUAUGAAAGCUGUUUCAUGGCUCCGUGCUCAGAAUGCGCCGCGUGUGACAGAGUAUGUGGAUGCUGGAAAUGUCCUGUUGGGUUGCAGCGUGAGGAAAGAAGCUCUGGGCCUCUGAGGGGUUUCUUAAAGUGGCUUCAACUUCAGGGUGAUCAGAAGCAGAUCUGCGUACACCUUACUGCCUUUGAUCCAGUGCUGUUUUAUGUUACAUACCCUGCUGCUGUUAUGCAGUCAGAAUUGUUAUAUAUUCUUUUUCAUGCUUAGUUCUUAGUGUUAAGAGGCAUUUUGUAUUUUGUGAAUCACUCCCUGUAAACCGGUGUGGGGAACUCCAGGCCUCAAAUGAUUAGUUCAUUACCAGGCCUCUGGAGAACUUCAAGACAAGUUGAGGAUGUAAUUUAGCCAUUUAAAUGAGCUGUGUUGGAUCAAGGACACUUCCAAACCUUGCAGGAAACCGGGCCUUGAGGUCUGGAGUUCCCUACCCCAGCUGUAAACCAAUGCACCUUUCGAGGUCCUCCUUCUUAGUUGCAUUGAGGAUUUUGUGCACGCUUCUUAUGACAGAGAGGAUAGAAGAGGCACAAAACUGUGCCCAGUCUGUGACAUCAAACAAAUUGGUUGUGAAUCAAAACUCUUUAUUCCUACUUUUCUAAGUAAUCUUAAAAUUUCAAGUAAACCUUUUCUGAGUAAUCUGUUUCUCCCGUUGCAGUUGUGCUCACCAGUCAAAACACAACGUCUAUACACCACUAAACAUUCAACACUUCUAUAGCAAAGUCCGUGAGCUGAACACAUACAAGGUGCCUGAACAUAACUAACAAAUUAUAAUUUGUCACUCCAAGUUAACAUGUUUGUUUUUUAUUUUUAAAAAGCAAACUUUUUCAACCACCACUGGUUUAUUAUUCUUUUUGUUCAGUUUGUUCUUGUCUUAAUGUGUCUACUCAGACAAAAACUGUGUGCAUUUCUUUUCUUUGCUCGGUCACUGAACGCUAAUGCAGAAAGCAGUGCAGGGUUGAGUCAAACCGAUAUCAUCAGGUGCUGGAGGCAACCAUCAUGGUUUCAUGUUUCAUGACAAAGAAGGAUACUGUUCAAAAUUAUACAUGAUGAUGUGCUCCCAAUAAUAUUUGGAAGACCUACACACAUUUUUUUAAAUACUGGAUUCUUUGUGUGCAAACAGUUCUUGAAAGAUCGAUUGACGGGGGCCAGUCUCUUUCUGUCAUGGUCCUGGGUCUGGUGACCCAGUGUUCAUGUGUUUUCGAGUUUUGUUAAUAUUCUUUGAUUUUGUGUCAUUUGUGUCACCCACACACACACACACACACACCUACACGUAUACACAGACUGGUACUCUUUGUUCCCAUGUAUGCCUAUGUAAGAUGUCAUAUGUUAAUGAACUAAUGCAUAUUCAUGAGUUACUUCAAUAAAGAGCAGUACUACGGGGGAGCUAACUGAGAGUGACUGGGGUUCAAGCGUCAGGAACAGCGCUCAUCACAGUUCUCUCCCUCGUGCACGUGAUUACCAAAGAACUUUGGUGACUUGUGUCUUGUUUUUGCUGGUGUAGUAGCAUUGUCUCAUUUCAGCAACAGGUCUGUGCUAGGCAAACCUAUCAAUAAUUGCUUAAUUUUUUGUUUUGUUUUUGUUCUUUAUCUUUAUAAGUAAGGCAGGAAGAAGUAUAGGGCCAUUUUCUAUAAGGGUUUGUAUCAGUCCAGCAUGAACUGGAGUGGGCCUUUGGGACAGAGCAGGAGAAACAGCAGGAAACAAUAAAAAUUGAUCUUUGGUUAUCGCUUGCCAAACUGGAUAAACUGACCAU
ensembl:lncRNA